rnacentral:lncRNA from 1 species
GCUUGCAACCAGCUGAUAUUAUUAAUAAUGUCGAAGAACUCUUGCAGAAAUAUUUACAAGUACCGAAGAAAUCUCCAGUCAGAACUAACAACUUAAAGGAAGAUUUUGAACCUGCUGGUAGUGGUCUUCCUAUUUGCUUUUUGGGAGCACAGGCAUUUAGCAGUAACAGGUAUACUAGAGAAGUAACAGAUACCGUCGCAGAAAAUUUAAGGAGAAUAUCAGAUGAUUUAGAAAGAAAUCAUAGUUCGGAGAUCAACAAUGUUUUUCAUCAACACAAUUAUAAUUUGAAUCAAUAUGGCACCUUCCGUUUAGCAGCUGAGAAUUUGUUAUCAAACAUUCAAAGACCAAUUCUACAGCUCGGUGCUGUAUUUGAACUUUGUAGACGAUAUACAUCUUCGUACCCUGCAUUCAGUGGUGACGGUAUAAUUGAACAGCAUGCUAUUAGAUACAUUCGUGAUCAUUUCACUCCAGAUGGUACCUGGACACCAGAGAGGAAUUAAGUAAAUACGACAGACUUCAACGAUGAGACAGAUAAGCUGACUGAAAGACCGAAUGAAGAAAGUUCUAGAGAAGAAAACCGAAGAGAUGGUACCUCACCGACUAUUGUUGAGAACAGUGAUAUCUACGACCCACAAGGAUUUGCCUCCUUCAAGUGGUUGUGACAAGUUCUUUUUCUUACAAAAGAACUCAGACAAAGGACCUCCAAUAAACAUGAUCGUUCAUUGUAACAGGCAGAUUUCCCAAUGUUAUACCAGUUAUAUUGCACCUGUUCAUCGAUGUAGGUCAAAUGAGGGUUUUUUUUUUACAACAACUGAUGUUAAGACAAAUGGGUCAAAGGUCAUUCUUGAGACUGAGGGUCAGAAGACCAGUUUCCAGGUUCUGUGGCGUAAAUAUUCUCCAUCCCACCUUGUCCACUUCUUGGACGAGAAACUGGUCCAUUGCAAAUUACUCGUUUUUGCCAGCUGAGUGGACUGGAACAAUGUGAAAUGAAGUGUUUUGCUCAAGAAUACAAUGCAUCGCUUGGCCCAGGAAUCGAAACCGCAGUCAUACGAUCAUGAGUCCAACACCUUAACCACUAAGCAAUUUACCUCCACUGUGAUAAUAACAGAAGGGUAAAACAUUUCCACUUUUGUGCUGGGUGUAGAGUCGACAUUUCCUCUGGGGUCCUUCACUAUAAAAAAAACCAUUAGUGGGUCUUUAAUUCACUUAAAGUAGCGUUUAAUAUAUUUGGUGAGGUUACUUUAUACAGAGACACCAUCUCAUUGGAUUAACCAUAGUUAAGUUAGCAUUCAUAUAUUUAAUAUAAUGAGUGUUAACAUUUUAAUUAGAAAUGAUUAUGUAGAGAGGGAAAAAAACAACAUAAACUUACAAUAUUCUAUAUGUAACUAUCUAAUUAGAGAUAAUCUCAUCACUGCUACGACAUGUACAGUGAAAUCUAUACUUCACUGAGGAGGGCUAAUAACACCGAAACAUACUUGGAAUAGUCUCUCUUGUACAACAAACAAAUCCUUCGCGAUAUUGCAGUUCACCUAUCACGGUUUACCUAUCACGGGUUAUUACUUAAGCUUUCCUAGAUACUUCGUGGUGUUGUUUUAAAUAAAUAUAUACAAAUUAUAAAAA